AUUGAACGCUGGCGGCAGGCCUAACACAUGCAAGUCGAACGGUAACAGGAAGCAGCUUGCUGCUUUGCUGACGAGUGGCGGACGGGUGAGUAAUGUCUGGGAAACUGCCUGAUGGAGGGGGAUAACUACUGGAAACGGUAGCUAAUACCGCAUAACGUCGCAAGACCAAAGAGGGGGACCUUCGGGCCUCUUGCCAUCGGAUGUGCCCAGAUGGGAUUAGCUAGUAGGUGGGGUAACGGCUCACCUAGGCGACGAUCCCUAGCUGGUCUGAGGGGAUGACAAGCCACACUGGAACUGAGCCACGGUCCAGACUCCUACGGGAGGCAGCAGUGGGGAAUAUUGCACAAUGGGCGCAAGCAUGAUGCAGCCAUGCCGCGUGUAUGAAGAAGGCCUUCGGGUUGUAAAGUACUUUCAGCGGGGAGGAAGGGAGUAAAGUUAAUACCUUUGCUGAUUGACGUUACCCGCAGAAGAAGCACCGGCUAACUCCGUG
rnacentral:rRNA from 1 species